rnacentral:lncRNA from 1 species
GGGACGUACAGUAAUGACAUGAACUGGUUGGUAAUUCCUUGAUUUUGCAAUAUGACCUAGGGAUAGGGGUAGGACGAUCAAUUGCAUUAACUUCUGUUUAUAAUUCAGUACUAAUUACUAGGGGAGGCUAGGGAUAGCAAGCCAGUAGUUAAUAUUAGGCUCUUUUCGCCGAGGGAUCGGGUUAAGGGUAUGCUAAGAAAGUCGCAUAACAAUUAAUUGAUCAAACUAAUAUUCAAGAGGAGUAGAUAAGAGAGGGCGAAUUAGAUGAAAUUGUAAACCCCCAACAACAUCCAUUCAUCCAUUGUUUUCUUUUGUCAAUUGAAUCAACUUUAUUUUGUAUGUUAAUAUUUUUGUUCUUAAAUCCAAUUUAUUAAUUUUUAUUUUCAAGUCUUAUUAUUUUAAUU